CUUGUGCCCUGACAGGGAACGGAAUCGUGACCUCCUGGUUCAUAGGUUGGCACUCAACCACUGAGCCACACCAGAUGGACACCUUAGGAAGACCUAUUACAACCACUUUGGCAAGAAUUCCCAGCUUUUUCUAUUGUAGAAAAGGCAAAUUGAAAUCAUGGAGUGAAAUACAAGUCUCUUCUGCUUUCAUAUGGCAGGGGAGAUGAACAUAAAUAAGUCAACCUUGCUUUUAUGUCCCAUGCUGGAAGAUAUGUACUAUAUACUGUACUGUCCCAUUACUGUAUAUAAAUGUACCGGAAUUGCCUGCCUGCCUGAAUAAGGGCAAUACGUGUAUCUAAAAUUGAAUAAAAAGCUGGCAGGGCCUGGGCACCAGUGAAGCCUUUCCUCUUGAGAAAGACUCUCUGCUUGGCCCCCUGUAAUUUCCAAAUUCA